rnacentral:lncRNA from 1 species
AGGCGUCUCCGCCUUCCUCAUGGAUGACUGCCCAAAGGAGAUGCUGGACGGCAAGUUCCAUCAAUUCUUCCUAAAUGAUCAACUGAAAGAACAUGUUGCACAUGAAAGAACAUGGAUGGAAACCUGAAGACAACCCUUUACCCUUAAUUUUUUUUUCACGUGUUAUUUUGAAUGUACUAAAGGAGUAUUUCC